GACUGAAUAUAAGAAAAUAAGUUUGAAAAAUAAAGAAUUGAAAAAGCUAAAUCUUGCACUUACUCAUGAAAAGGAAAAGAUUUCUAAAAAACUUGAUAAUUUUUGAAAAUCAAAAAUUGAAUGAUGAACUAAAGAAAAUUAAAUCUUUUAUAGAAAAAUUCACUUAUAGUUCUAAAAAAUUGCAUAUGCUUUUGAAUGAACAAAAAGCUAUCUUUAACAAGGCU
rnacentral:lncRNA from 1 species